UGACACUGGCAUGGCUUGGGAGGGCGCCGACCUGAUGUUGUCAGCUAGGACGGCCCUGCCCUCCGGGACCAGAGAGAAACCCCAAACCUCAGCUUCUCCUUGGGAAAGCAGAGGCUUCCCUUUGUGGUUUGGGAGCAAAGCCAGCUCCUUGACCCUGUUUGACUCGGCCAUCUGGGGCUUAGUGGGCUGUGAGAUCUUUGAGACACCCCCCAGCAAAGGGGAAGAAUGCCCCCCUGCUUACAGACUGGGAAACUGAGGUCCAAAGAGGGAAAUGGUUUGUCCAAUUGGGAUCACACAGCGCAGAGGGAAAAGCAGAGAAUCUGGAGAACACAGUCAGUGAAAUUAGGACUCCCGAGGGAAAGGGGCAGGCUAGGGAGUGGGGAGUGGAUGAGAAGUGCAGGAACUGUACGGAGAGAAUGCACUGGGCACUAAGCUGUCCCCUUCCCAAGUGCUGGGAGCUUAGGGUAACUUUCUCUUAUGGCUCCUAUUGACAGAUAGGGUACCGGGCCUAUGACAGGAGAGAAAUACUUACCUGGUUACUAGUUGAGUUUUUCAGUAUUAAUGACUUUAUGAACAUACAGGAGUUAAAAUUGCAGCAUCAGAGAUGGAAGGCAGACUUCAGGAAGAACUUCGCACUUUUGUGGAUGAGGGCCUUUGAGAUAGGUGGCGAAUCCAUGAGCAGGCAUUCUGCCCUGCCCAGUCCUCUGGUUCCCUCUCUGGGUUACUGGGGCAUCUCUCACAUCCAUCCCACAGCCUUCCCCCUCCACACUGUCCUCAGCAUGGAAUGAAAUGCCUGUGGACUUUGUCAUCAUGAGAAGAUCCCACAUUCUGGAAAACCGGAGGUGACAUCACCACAGCUUUGCACCAGGUCUUUCAGAGCCUUCUAGGCCUGGUGACUCCUUGUCAGUGGCCAGGGGCACAUGAUGUGACUCAGAAAGGAGAGGGCAGAAGGCAGGGGAUCUGGCUGUAGCAGGACUUAGUGGGGGUGUCAUUGCCCUUCUCUGAGCCUCCUGUUCUCCAGUGAGGCGCCUGGACUGGAACAGUGGCUUUUACAGGGGUAAAGGAGUCUGUGUUGUUGAACCUGCACAGAAGGACAGAGCCUCCCAUCUGUCCAUAUCCCCUAUAGGAAACCCUCCCUGAGUCCCCGCUGCCAGAAUGAAUCUCUCUUUCCUCGGCCCUCAUCAGCAAGCACCGAAGCUCACACAUUCCUGGGACAUGGCUCCCAUGCCUUGCAUUGCUGUCCGGGGACUCCUGCCCACUCCCCACCUAGAACACCAGACCUCUAAGGCAGGGAUGUGUCCACUCCGGAACUGACCCAAGGCUUGGGCGUCAAUGUGUCAGGGCUCAGUCUCAUGCAGCCUGGGUGGCUACAAUGCUCUUGGCUGUCCCCACUCUGGGGGAGUUUGGAGAAUACCCCCAGCCCCCAAGAAG
rnacentral:lncRNA from 1 species